GCAAACUUGGUCAUUUAGAGGAAGUAAAAGUCGUAACAAGGUCUCCGUAGGUGAACCUGCGGAGGGAUCAUUACCAGAGAUGGCGGGCUGCGGCCCCCGUCCCCAACCCUUUGCCGAUCAAAACCCUUUUGCCUCGGGGGCAGAGCGUCCGCCGCCGCCCCCGGAGGACCACCGAACGCUGUCUCUGUACGUCAGAGUUAUUGAUCAAAUGAAUUGAAAACUUUCAACAACGGAUCUCUUGGUUCUGGCAUCGAUGAAGAACGCAGC
rnacentral:misc_RNA from 1 species